rnacentral:rRNA from 1 species
AUGCUUCUCUUGUCGGUCUGGAGUUGGGAACGUUUGCCAGUUGGGCGGCCAACACCUGCGGGUCUUGGUUAUGAGCCAUGGGAUGAUCAUGAUGACCCGGACCGUAUGCCUACAUGGGCGUAUAAGUGGGGCAAGGUUGAAGGUUUUGUUGGCAAUUCAAAGACCAUGUAUUUGCACUAUUGCAAUGAGCUCGACAUCAUGACCCUGGAGCAGGUUAGUUUGUUGACUGUGUUGCCCCUUUGGUUUUCCAAAAAUCAUAGUAAGCAUCUAUUUUAUUAUUUGACGCUACAGGUGACCUGGGAGCCAUACGGAACGGCAGGCAAUAUUGGCAGAAGUCUCACUUUCAGAUUGAAUCGAAAGUGUUUUGAAGAAGCAAACCUAUAG